AAAAAAAUAAGAUUGGCAACAGUUGUUAGCUCAGGGGCUAAUCUUAAAAAAAAAAAAAUUAAAUCGGCAGAACAUUUUCCUGCCAAUUGUGCUUUUCUUUCUUCUUCUGCAAAACCUAAACCACACCUGGGAGAACUCACCCUGUUCUUGUUGACCUGCUCCUCUAAGAACACGGAUCCAUCCAUCUCCCCCCAGCCUGGGGCUCAGGGACACUGUUUAGUCAAGUCUUUGCCUCCCUCUUGCGUUGAAAAGAAGAAUAACAUGCAAACAAAUUCUAUAUCAGAAAAAACGUUGAGAGGACCUCUACCCUGGGCUGUUUACACAAGCUGUGUAAAAAGGGUAUUACAGUAUUAUCCAUAUAACGUUCGAAUUAAUACUUCCCAGAAAAAGUAAACUUUAAAUCAAAUAAAAUCAAAUCAGAAUAAAUGGCACACCCACCUGAGCAGCUGAACCAAAAAUCAAUGGAGUGAUUCUUUGGUCUCUGGACUAAAAGAUUCAAGAUUGAUUUUUCCUCUUUUUUGUAAACAACGAAGCUCCCUGGUAACUUGAAGUGUUAUCGCAGUCCUGUAUCUUGCAAGGAUUGAUAUGACAAAAGCAUAGCAGUUUGUCUAAAAACUUUCAAUAGCCAUACAGAUGGCUGAAUUUGCAUGAGCUCAUCAGGCAAUGAUUUUUUUUUUUUUAAAGCAUUAACCUCAGAAAUAGGAAAAAAACAAAAGUUUCCUCCUAAAUACCCGAGUUCUCCAUCACAAAUAUUCCUUCGCAAACUCAGUUAUAUCCUAAAAUAAUAUGACUUCUCGCAAUAUUCAGUGAUCUGCAGGGAAUGUUAAGUUUCUGAAGGGCCUUACACUGUCCUGAAUGUAACGAAGAUUCCUUUGAGGGAGUUCUUCUUUGAGGAAGACGCCUAUGCACCGUGGACUGUUGUGACGCCCUGCUGGGCCUGUCUUAUUCACGAGCUGCUUCCCCAUUGGGGUCACCUGGUUUUUGUACAGUGCUCCUCUUCAUGAAGGUGACCACUAUUUGGCACUGAGCACCUAUACAGGUGCUGACAACGAGUUAGCAUUAUCCUUGGUUCUCAAGGGGGGAAACUGAGGAUUAAAAGUAACGUACCUGAGAUGGCGAGGUCUGGUGAGGGGCAGAGCUGGGACGCAGACUUAGACACUGGAACCUUGAACUCUGUGCUCUGGAGGCAAUGCCCACUGCCUCUUAUGAAGGUUCUUCCCUUACCCGGCGGGAAGGCACACCUGAGACCAACAUUUCCCUGUGAUAAGAUUCACCUGGGAGCUUGUUCAACCCUGCUUCCCAGACUCCCUACCCAGGAGAUUCUGACUCAGCGACUCCGUGCUGGGCUCAGAAACUCUUUUUAAUAAAUGAUCCAGGUGAUUCUUAUCAUCAGAGAGCUAGGGGAAUGGUCUUAGACCCAGAGUAGGCAAGGUAAAGGGCCAGAGGGUAUUUUUGGCCUUGUGGGCCAUAAGGUCUCUGUCACAGCUACUCAGCUCUGCGGUGGUGACACAAAAGGAGCCAGAGGCAAUUCGUACGUGCAUGGGCAUGGCUGUGGUCCAACACUUUAUUUACAAAAAACAGGUGGCUGGCUGUAGUUUGCUGAUCCCUAUCUUAGACCAUUUGUAAUACCAUUAAAAAAGACACUUUAACACUUGCUAUUUGUCACCUCACUAAGUCUGUGUCUGAAUCAGGCAAUUGAUCCAACGAAAAUCUCCCCACACCAUGAAACAUCACCUACAUUGAGGGAUAAAGUCAAGGCUGUGUCUUCCCUCCCUCUUCAGGGAGCAGCGCUGUUAAUGUCAGAUGCAGGUUUGUGACCUCCUCUGUCUACACCACUCAUGACGUAGGGGAGGACAUUAGGAGGUCAGGCAGAGGCAGACAAGCAAAGCUUUCACCUCAGCUGAUUGGUGAGUGUGGAAUUCUAAGAUGGCCUCCACGUGUUCCAUCCCCUGGCGAAUAGGCACCUCCUUC
ensembl:lncRNA